GGACUUGACAUACACCGGAAAGCAUCAGAGAUGGUGCCCCCCGUUGUGGUCGGUGUACAGGUGGUGCAUGGCUGUCGUCAGCUCGUGUCGUGAGAUGUUGGGUUAAGUCCCGCAACGAGCGCAACCCUUGUCCCGUGUUGCCAGCAACUCUUCGGAGGUUGGGGACUCACGGGAGACCGCCGGGGUCAACUCGGAGGAAGGUGGGGACGACGUCAAGUCAUCAUGCCCCUUAUGUCUUGGGCUGCACACGUGCUACAAUGGCCGGUACAAUGAGCUGCGAUACCGCAAGGUGGAGCGAAUCUCAAAAAAGCCGGUCUCAGUUCGGAUUGGGGUCUGCAACUCGACCCCAUGAAGUCGGAGUCGCUAGUAAUCGCAGAUCAGCAUUGCUGCGGUGAAUACGUUCCCGGGCCUUGUACACACCGCCCGUCACGUCACGAAAGUCGGUAACACCCGAAGCCGGUGGCCCAACCCCUUGUGGGAGGGAGCUGUCGAAGGUGGGACUGGCGAUUGGGACGAAGUCGUAACAAGGUAGGCGUAGCGAG
rnacentral:rRNA from 1 species